CAAUAGCGUAUAUUAAAGUUGUUGCAGUUAAAAAGCUCGUAGUUGGAUCUGUGGUGUGCGGUGGGCUCCGGGCACUUGUUGUCUGAGUAGCUCGCCGCUGCCAUCCUUGGGUGGAACCUGUGUGGCAUUAGGUUGUCGUGCAGGGGAUGCCCAUCGUUUACUGUGAAAAAAUUAGAGUGUUCAAAGCAGGCUUAUGCCGUUGAAUAUGUUAGCAUGGAAUAAUGAGAUAGGACUUUUUCGCUAUUUUGUUGGUUUGCGCGAAGAGGUAAUGAUUAAUAGGGACAGUUGGGGGUAUUCGUAUUCCAUUGUCAGAGGUGAAAUUCUUGGAUUUUUGGAAGACGAACUACUGCGAAAGCAUUUACCAAGGAUGUUUUCAUUAA
rnacentral:rRNA from 1 species